GUAUUCAGGAAGUAAGAGGCCUUUAUUCACGUACCGAUUGGAACUCCUGUUCCAAAAAUAUCUGACCCUGAACACAUGGAGUACAUUCCUUAUAUAGCAAUAUAGCUCCUCCCAUAAUUAGCUACGCCCACACAUACCCUUAACCAAUCAAUGAACAGAGUCUAAACUCGUCCAUCCGGUCUAACCAUGUGGCUCAUCUGAAACAAAAGAGAAGGGUGCGUAACUCCAGUUCCUGCAUUCCUACACAUGCUCAGUACAUUGAUAACGGUAUCUUAGCUACGUGUAACUAACUAACUGAUAAUACAAACACAUGUACCUACAUAUGCCUUGUGGCAAUCUUGGCCUACUAAACUUUUAUUUUACUGGAAUUCCAUCACACACAGGCUCUGUAUGCACAUUGAUACGGUAAGUACACAGGCGCUGUAUGUACAUUGACGCGGUAAGUACACGGGCUCUGUAUGUACAUUGACGCGGUAAGUACACGGGCUCGGUAUGUACAUUGACGCGGUAAGUACACGGGCUCUGUAUGUGCAUUGACGCGGUAAGUACACGGGCUCUGUAUGUGCAUUGACGCGGUAAGUACACGGGCUCGGUAUGUGCAUUGACGCGGUAAGUACAGGGGCUCUGUAUGUGCUUUGACGCGGUAAGUACACGGGCUCGGUAUGUACAUUGACGCGGUAAGUACACGGGCUCGGUAUGUGCAUUGACGCGGUAAGUACACGGCUCGGUAUGUGCAUUGACGCGGUAAGUACACGGGCUCUGUAUGUGCAUUGACGCGGUAAGUACACGGGCUCUGUAUGUGCGUUGACGCGGUAAGUACACGGGCUCUGUAUGUGCGUUGACGCGGUAAGUACACGGGCUCGGUAUGUGCGUUGACGCGGUAAGUACACGGGCUCGGUAUGUGCGCUGACG